AUUGCUCCUCAGCCUUUUGGCUAAAUUCAAAUGUAGUAUCUGUUCUUAUUAGUAUCUUGAAUACAAAAGCCAAAGGCCCUAACCCCAGUGCAUAAUUACUGUAUAUUAUCUUCCCGGUGGUUUCACUUUAUUUUUAAAAAUACUAUACUCAAAGGUGUAUUGGGACAAUACACCGCUUAGAAACUGAG